UGAGGAAUAUUGGUCAAUGGGCGAGAGCCUGAACCAGCCAAGUCGCGUGAAGGAUGACUGUCUUAUGGAUUGUAAACUUCUUUUAUACGGGAAUAACAAGAGCCACGUGUGGCUCCCUGCAUGUACCGUAUGAAUAAGCAUCGGCUAACUCCGUGCCAGCAGCCGCGGUAAUACGGAGGAUGCGAGCGUUAUCCGGAUUUAUUGGGUUUAAAGGGUGCGUAGGCGGCCUGUUAAGUCAGCGGUGAAAUCUAGGAGCUUAACUCCUAAAUUGCCAUUGAUACUGGCGGGCUUGAGUGUAGAUGAGGUAGGCGGAAUGCGUGGUGUAGCAGUGGAAUGCAUAGAUAUCACGCAGAACUCCGAUUGCGAAGGCAGCUNACUAAGGUACAACUGACGGUGGAAGCACGAAAGCGUGGGUAUCAAACAGGAUUAGAUACCCUGGUAGUCCACGCAGUAAACGAUGAUAACUGGGCGUAUGCGAUAUACAGUAUGCUCCUAAGCGAAAGCGUUAAGUUAUCCACCUGGGGAGUACGCCGGCAACGGUG
rnacentral:rRNA from 1 species